rnacentral:rRNA from 1 species
UGAGGAAUAUUGGACAAUGGGCGCAAGCCUGAUCCAGCCAUGCCGCGUGCAGGAUGAAGGCCUUCGGGUUGUAAACUGCUUUUUGUACGGAACGAAAAGACUCUGGUUAAUACCUGGGGUCCAUGACGGUACCGUAAGAAUAAGCACCGGCUAACUACGUGCCAGCAGCCGCGGUAAUACGUAGGGUGCGAGCGUUAAUCGGAAUUACUGGGCGUAAAGCGUGCGCAGGCGGUUAUAUAAGACAGAUGUGAAAUCCCCGGGCUCAACCUGGGAACUGCAUUUGUGACUGUAUAGCUAGAGUACGGCAGAGGGGGAUGGAAUUCCGCGUGUAGCAGUGAAAUGCGUAGAUAUGCGGAGGAACACCGAUGGCGAAGGCAAUCCCCUGGGCCUGUACUGACGCUCAUGCACGAAAGCGUGGGGAGCAAACAGGAUUAGAUACCCAAGUAGUCCCUGAGCGGGCUGGCAAGGCGCAU